UACGGAGGGGGCUAGCGUUGUUCGGAAUUACUGGGCGUAAAGCGCACGUAGGCGGCUUUGUAAGUUAGAGGUGAAAGCCCGGGGCUCAACUCCGGAAUUGCCUUUAAGACUGCAUCGCUCGAAUUGUGGAGAGGUAAGUGGAAUUCCGAGUGUAGAGGUGAAAUUCGUAGAUAUUCGGGAGGAACACCAGUGGCGAAAGGCGGCCAACUGGACAGAUACUGACGCUGAGACUCGAAAGCGUGGGGAGCAAACAGG
rnacentral:rRNA from 1 species